rnacentral:rRNA from 1 species
UAGGGAAUCUUCGGCAAUGGGGGGAACCCUGACCGAGCAACGCCGCGUGAGUGAAGAAGGUUUUCGGAUCGUAAAGCUCUGUUGUUAAGGAAGAACGAGUGUGAGAAUGGAAAGUUCAUACUGUGACGGUACUUAACCAGAAAGGGACGGCUAACUACGUGCCAGCAGCCGCGGUAAUACGUAGGUCCCGAGCGUUGUCCGGAUUUAUUGGGCGUAAAGCGAGCGCAGGCGGUCAAUUAAGUCUGAUGUGAAAGCCCCCGGCUCAACCGGGGAGGGUCAUUGGAAACUGGUUGACUUGAGUGCAGAAGAGGAGAGUGGAAUUCCAUGUGUAGCGGUGAAAUGCGUAGAUAUAUGGAGGAACACCAGUGGCGAAGGCGACUCUCUGGUCUGUAACUGACGCGGGGGCUCGAAAGCGUGGGUAGCAAACAGG